UACGGAGGGUGCGAGCGUUGUCCGGAAUCACUGGGCGUAAAGGGCGCGUAGGCGGCGCGGGUAGUCAACGGUGAAAGCUUGGGGCUCAACCCCGAGUCGGCCGUCGAUACUCCCGUGCUUGAGCACUGUAGAGGCAGGUGGAAUUCCGGGUGUAGCGGUGGAAUGCGUAGAGAUCCGGAGGAACACCAGCGGCGAAGGCGGCAUCCUGGACUGGUCCUGACACUCAGGAGCGAAAGCGUGGGGAGCGAUCCGG
rnacentral:rRNA from 1 species